GAGACAGAGAUAUGGAGAGAGGGAUCAAGAAAGAGAGGCACCUGCAGCGCUGCUCCUGAAGCUCUCCCUUGGCAGGUGGGGACCAGAGACUAGAAUCCAGGUCCUCGAACAUGGUAAUGUGUGCUUUACCAGGAGAUCCAGCACUCGACCCCUAGAAUAUUAUUCUAACAAGCACCAGCUCUGCUUCAAGGAUGGAAUUUCAAUUCACUCAAGCAAGAUAAAACCUAUUCCUCAAAUCUUCAGCAGGUGGAAAGAAAGCAGCAACCACAUUCCGGACAAAACACACCAACAUCUUAGCCAGCGUCCCAACACUUUUCUCCUAUCUAGUCUACUUCUACCACAAAGACUUCCGUUUCUGUAUCUUGGAAUGAGAUUUGCAGAGUAACUGAGUGGAUGGUUCAGCCUCUCUUUGAUAAGAAGCCAGAUGUUCCAUGGAUAAAAAGAAAGAUCACCUGAUGUGCGGGAACGAACUGAGGAUGAGUUAGUGAAGGCACAGGGGAGCCUGGUCAGGAGGCCAGCUUUGCCAGGAGGUGCCUGGCCGGCUUUCUGAACCUUCACUGCCUGCCGGCAGCGUCUGGGUGAUUUCCAGCUGUGCCGAUGCUCCUGCAUACCUGCAAGGUGACGCCACGCUGGCCGGUCAGCCCUGGAGGGCUGUGUGCAGGCCGGCUGGCGGGGGCCCGGGCUCCCUACCUCGUAGUAUUUGCCGUCCGAGUAGCAGCCGCA